AUUGAACGCUGGCGGCAUGCUUUACACAUGCAAGUCGAACGGUAGCAGGCCGCAAGGUGCUGACGAGUGGCGAACGGGUGAGUAAUGCAUCGGAACGUGCCCAGUCGUGGGGGAUAACGCAGCGAAAGCUGCGCUAAUACCGCAUACGAUCUAUGGAUGAAAGCGGGGGACCGUAAGGCCUCGCACGAUUGGAGCGGCCGAUGUCAGAUUAGGUAGUUGGUGAGGUAAAGGCUCACCAAGCCAACGAUCUGUAGCUGGUCUGAGAGGACGACCAGCCACACUGGGACUGAGACACGGCCCAGACUCCUACGGGAGGCAGCAGUGGGGAAUUUUGGACAAUGGGCGCAAGCCUGAUCCAGCAAUGCCGCGUGCAGGAAGAAGGCCUUCGGGUCGUAAACUGCUUUUGUACGGAACGAAACGGUCCGGGUUAAUACCCUGGGCUAAUGACGGUACCGUAAGAAUAAGCACCGGCUAACUACGUGCCAGCCGCCGCCGUAACAC
rnacentral:rRNA from 1 species